rnacentral:rRNA from 1 species
UGAACGCUAGCGGUGCGCCUAACACAUGCAAGUCGAGCGAUAUAGCGGCGAACGGGUGAGUAACACGUUGGAACCUGCCUCGAACUCAGGGAUAGCCAUCCGAAAGGGUGAUUAAUACCGGAUAGUCCCGAAAGGGUAAAGAUUUUUCGGUUCGAGAGGGGCCUGCGGCCUAUCAGCUUGUUGGUGAGGUAAAAGCUUACCAAGGCUAUGACGGGGUAUCUGGUGUGAGAGCAUGACCAGACACAAUGGGACUGAGACACGGCCCAUACUCC